AGACAAUUUAGCAAUGGCAUCUGUCAUGCCAUUGUUCAGAGUGUUGAUCUGGCUGAUCAGGCUGGGUACAUUAGUGUUCCUUUGCACCAUCCAGUAACUCCGUGUGUAUCCCUCCCAAAGCAAUGCUCUUGACAGAAAGAAACACGCUUACCCAAAAGAGGAAGAUCAUCAAGGGUCAAGGGUGUAUGAGCAGCUGCUGUGACCCCAAGCUGGAACCUGCAAACAAGCUUCCAGGGUUAUCAGUCAUAUUGAACUAGGUCUCACCCUGACAGCUUCAUUU
rnacentral:snRNA from 1 species